rnacentral:rRNA from 1 species
UACGGAGGGCGCAAGCGUUGUUCGGAAUCACUGGGCGUAAAGCGCGUGCAGGCGGCUUGGCAAGUCGGGUGUGAAAUCCCGGAGCUCAACUCCGGAACUGCACCCGAAACUGCCUCGCUAGAGUCCCGGAGAGGAUGGCGGAAUUUCCGGUGUAGAGGUGAAAUUCGUAGAUAUCGGAAGGAACACCAGCGGCGAAGGCGGCCAUCUGGACGGUGACUGACGCUCAGACGCGAAAGCGCGGGGAGCAAACAGG